GGUUCCGGCUCAGCGGCAGAGCGCUCGCCUAGCAUGUGUGAGGCCCUGGGUUCAAUCCUCAGCACCA
rnacentral:tRNA from 1 species